rnacentral:rRNA from 1 species
GACGAACGCUGGCGGCGUGCUUAACACAUGCAAGUCGAACGGAAAGGCCCUGCUUUUGUUGGUUGCUCGAGUGGCGAACGGGUGAGUAACACGUGAGUAACCUGCCCUUGACUUUGGGAUAACUUCAGGAAACUGGGGCUAAUACCGGAUAGGAUCUCCUGCUGCAUGGUGGGGGUUGGAAAGUUUCGGCGGUUGGGGAUGGACUCGCGGCUUAUCAGCUUGUUGGUGGGGUAGUGGCUUACCAAGGCUUUGACGGGUAGCCGGCCUGAGAGGGUGACCGGCCACAAGGGGACUGAGAUACGGCCCAGAAUCCUACGGGAGGCAGCAGUGGGGAAUAUUGCACAAUGGGCGGAAGCCUGAUGCAGCAACGCCGCGUGCGGGAUGACGGCCUUCGGGUUGUAAACCGCUUUCGCCUGUGACGAAGCGUGAGUGACGGUAAUGGGUAAAGAAGCACCGGCUAACUACGUG